CUUGGAACUACUGGUCUGAUGUGAAAGGCUGUCACUGAUGAGGUGACAGUUCUUCUCUCAGAGGAUCACAGGGCUUUGGAACUCUCUUCCUCAAAGAGCAGAGAAAUAAAGGACUGCAGAUGCUGGAAUCUAGAUGAAAAACACGAUGAUGCUGGAGGAACUCAGCAGGCCAGGCAGCAUCAGUGGAGAAAAGCAGGCGGUCAACGUUUCGGAUGUAUUGUUGAAAGUAUCCUGACUGGUUGCAUCAUGGUCUGGGACGGCAAUUCGAAUGCACAGGAACGUAAGAUGCUGCAGAGAGUAGUGGACUCAGCCCAAUACAUCACGGGCACAUCCCUCCCCACCAUCGGGAGUAUCUACAGGAGGUGCUGCCUCAAGAAGGCAACAUCCAUCAUCAAAGAUCCCCACCAUCUGGGCCGUGCCAUCUUCUCGCAGCUCCCAUCGGGCAGGAGGUACAGAAGCCUGAAGUCCCACAGCACCAGGUUCAGGAACAGCGACUUCCCUUCAACCAUUCGGUUCUUGAACCAACCCGCAAAACCCUAAUCACUG